GGGUCUCUGAUCCAUGGAAAUGCGGAUGAUGUCACACAUUUUAUUGGUGCGGCAUGGAUGAAGUGGAGGCUUUAGUCCGGCGUUUUGUGUCACAAGAAUAUACCACCAAAACUUAAAGGUAAGUUUUACCGAGUGGUGGUUAGACCAGCUUUGUGGUAUGGGGUGGAGUGUUAACCAGUGUAGCCAGUCUAGAACUCCUAGGUCCAGCCGUCCAGAAGAUAGAAGUGGCGCAAAUGAGGACGUUGAGAUGGAUGUGAGGGCAUACUAGGAGUGAUAGGAUUAGAAAUGUGGAACCUCCAGAACCAGUGUCUAGGGGAGCGCAAACCAAAAAAAGCAACAAUGUCCCGCUGCACGCUUGAAGCGAAGUGGUCGCUUCAUUAAUCAUUGAAGUGAAGCAAAAUUUAAAGCAAAAAAGACCAAAAUAAAUAGAGACAAGGUAAAAGCAAAAGUUCAUAUCAAAAACUAAAUAAAGGUUCCCCAUUAGUUGUCCUGUCACAAAACAAAUAUACUAUUGUUGUCCUAUUGGUCUCACUAAAGGACGGUUUGGAAAGCCACUCUGGUGAAUAUACCCUACAUGGUAGCAUGUUUUGUUUGGCUCCUACUCUUAAUGAAGUUUUCCUUACACAAUCUGAUGAAAAGGGAGAUAACUCUUAUGUCCCAAAUGUGUUUUUUGUGGAGAACAAGCUGAAACUAUCAGACACUUGUUCCUUCCUUGCAAGUUCACAGGUCAGCUUUGGAGGCUAUUCAUAAACCUUAAGGUUUCUCCUGGACUAUGCCAGAAAAGGUGACAGAGGCCCUCCAAAGCUGGGGUUUAGGACAAAAAACAGAUGUAGGUGGAGAAUCAUACGAGCCAGCAUAUGGUGGACAAUUUGGAUAGAGAGAAAUACUAGGUGUUUUAAGAACAUAGAGAAGAGUACAGAACAGAUAAUAUUGAACUGUAUCUUGAUACUAUAUUUUUGGUGUAAAUAGAUUUGGUUUAAUGAUCUUGUAUCUAUUAUUGAUGUGUUAGAUUCAUUAUAUACAUAGGAUCAGACACUCUCGAUUUACAUGUAAAUAUGGUCCUAGUACAACC